rnacentral:sRNA from 1 species
UCAGGGAUUGCGAUGGCCUUUGGUCGCCUA